rnacentral:lncRNA from 1 species
GGCUCAUUUAUCGUUUCUGGAGGGCCUCACAGAUGGGCUAUUCAUCAGCGACACCCUGCCAGUCAUUUAGAGGAUCUGCGGGAACAAAUAAACAAGAAGAGUGUCAUCAGUCAGGGACCAGCAUCCAUGCCAACUGCCCGAGAUGACUGCUAAGGCAAUUCAUAUUCUCUCUCAAUCUUCAGCCACCAUCUGAUGUUAAUUGAUCUUGAUCUUCCCCACUCGCCAAUUCUGAAGACACUUUGAAUCUCACAUUAACUUCAUUCAGUCUUUAAGAAUAACCAAAGGUAUGUUGUAUAAUAAUUUUACAACUAAACAAACCUUCCAAACGUCUCGGUAUCAUUUUCACACAUAUGCAUAGUCUUUUUUUGGUAGAAUAGACAUAUGGAUCUCAAAGCUA